GACGAACGCUGGCGGCGUGCUUAACACAUGCAAGUCGAACGGAAAGGCCCUGCUUGCAGGGUGCUCGAGUGGCGAACGGGUGAGUAACACGUGGGUGAUCUGCCCCUUACUUUGGGAUAAGCCCGGGAAACUGGGUCUAAUACUGGAUAGGACCAUGCUGUAGGUGGUGUGGUGGAAAGAUUAGUUUCGGUAAGGGAUGAGCUCGCGGCCUAUCAGCUUGUUGGUGGGGUAAUGGCCUACCAAGGCGUCGACGGGUAGCCGGCCUGAGAGGGUGGACGGCCACAUUGGGACUGAGAUACGGCCCAGACUCCUACGGGAGGCAGCAGUGGGGUAUAUUGCACAAUGGGCGCAAGCCUGAUGCAGCGACGCCGCGUGGGGGAUGACGGCCUUCGGGUUGUAAACUCCUUUCAGCCAUGACGAAGCCCUUGUGGUGACGGUAGUGGUAGAAGAAGCACCGGCUAACUACGUG
rnacentral:rRNA from 1 species